GGCCACGAUUACACUUCAGGAUGUGGAGGUCCUCUUUGGAUUGUGGGUAGAUGGAGAGCCACUAUACACUCGGUACGAGCCUCCUCCUGGUCAGACGUGGGCGACAGAGUUGACUAGGCUCACCCACUUCGUGCCUGUUGCCCAGGGCCAGAUUUCAGGACAGAGUCGGGUUCAGAUUAGUGCACUCUGCACUUAUUUGGAGGGUCUUGAUCCGGUUGACGACGGCACCCCGCAGGACGCUGUUGAUCGUCAUGCCCGUUUGUACCUGCUUAUUAUAUUCGGGGGCAUCUUGUUCCCGAACUCAUCGGGUGCCUUUGUCAGCUUACGUUAUUUGAUUUUCUUGGAGCGUCUGGACCGCCUGAGAGACUACAGCUGGGGGGGGGGGGGGCUAUUUUGGCGUAUCUUUACAGAUGCCUGUGCCGAGCGUCUAUCGGUGUUGUCAGAGAUGUGUGUGGAUUUUUUGCUCUUCUCCAGUUAUGGGCAUGGGAGAGGAUGCUGCCUUUUCAGCCCGUACCUAGGCAUCACCUCGAGAUUGACAUGCCUUAUGCGAGGAGGUGGACAGCGGGUUUUGAUCGGGAUGUGGAUACGCACCACAGUAUUCUACCAUUCCGGGACCAGCUUGAUCACAUGACGGACGAUGCGCUAUUUAUAUAGACGCCGUACGCUACUAUAUUAGAUGGUUUGCCGGCCUUCUGUUGGGCAGGUCAGGGGGUUUGGAGGUCGCGGUGUCCAUUGAUACACUUGGACAUCGUAGAGGAGCACAUGCCCGAGUGUGUCUUACGACAGUUUGGGCAUACGUAGUAU